rnacentral:lncRNA from 1 species
UGUUUUGUAGUUCUGAGGGAAAGAUGUACAUGUUGAGUGUUCUUGAACUACAUCCCUUGUUUGCCACUUUUUGAAACCACACUUUGCACAUGGACACUUAAUUACAGGACCAUUAGCAUGUUGAAAUGCAAUAUCCAAAAACACAUUCAACCCAUUUGCAUACUCAAUGGUGUUUCGUGGUUUACAAAUCCACGAUUUAUCAAUUGGUAU